rnacentral:rRNA from 1 species
CCCUUAGAUGUUCUGGGCCGCACGCGCGCUACACUGACGAUGGCAACGAGUUUUUCCUUCGCCGAAAGGUGUGGGUAAUCUUUUGAAACAUCGUCGUGCUGGGUAUAGAUCAUUGCAAUUUUUGAUCUUGAACGAGGAAUUCCUAGUAAGCGCGAGUCAUCAGCUCGCGUUGAUUACGUCCCUGCCCUUUGUACACACCGCCCGUCGCUACUACCGAUUGAAUGGUUUAGUGAGGACUCCUGAUUGGCGCCGCCGCCCCGGCAACGGAGCAGCGGACUGCCGAAAAGUUGUUCAAACUUGAUCAUUUAGAGGAAGUAAAAGUCGUAACA